UCGAGCACGCGCGUGUGCAUAUCAAUAAGCGGAGGAAAAGGAAACUAACAAGGAUUCCCCUAGUAACGGCGAGUGAAGCGGGAAGAGCUCAAAUCUGAAAUCUUAAAGGGUUUCCCUUUACGAAUUGUAGUUUAAAGAAGUGUUUUCUGCUGAAGUUUUGGUAAAAGUUCUUUGGAAUAGGACAUCAUAGAGGGUGAGAAUCCCGUAUUUGACCGUUACUUUCCAGCUGUGUGAUACACUUUCAAGGAGUCGGAUUGUUUGGGAAUGCAGUCCAAAAUGGGUGGUAAAUUUCAUCUAAAGCUAGAUAUUGGCGAGAGACCGAUAGCGAACAAGUACCGUGAGGGAAAGAUGAAAAGAACUUUGAAAAGAGAGUUAAACAGUACGUGAAAUUGUCAAAAGGGAAGCGUUUGACACCAGUGUUGUUUAGUUGAAAAUCAAUUCAAUAAUUUUUGAUUUUGAGUAGUAUUGACUUCAUCAGCUUGCUCCUUUCUUUACGAAACUUUCUUAAUGCACUUUUCGGUUAACAAGUCAACAUCAAUUUCUUUUGUUGUAAAAGGGUAUGAGGAAGGUGGCUUUCUUUUCGGAGAAUGUGUUUAUAGCCUUGUGCCUCUGCAAUCGGAGAGAUUGAGGUCUGCAGCGUAGAUCCUUCGGGGUUAGAUACAUUUGUGCUAAGUUAUAGCUUUUCAUAGACAACUUGUUGACUAUGUUUAGUCUUGUAGCUUACUCGCUUAUGCUAUUUUACCUACGCUUAGGAUGUUGACGAUCAGCUGAGCGCG
rnacentral:rRNA from 1 species